UCCAAAAAGCAACAGACAAGGCUAACUAAUUAUAAUUUUUUGAAUAUAAUAUUCUUAAUAUAGUUUUCUACUUUAAACAAUGUCAUUAAUGCUGGAAAAGGGAAAAGGCCCAAAAGGGAGAUCUGGUCGGCGAGAAGUGAGAGAAUAAAGAAAAAGUUUCAUUUUCCAAUCUUCCUUUUGGAGAAGAGCAAUAAACUCCAAGGAAACGUCUCUUCAGAAAUUGAA
rnacentral:lncRNA from 1 species